UCAUCCUUGAAAGGUAGAAAAAAAUAUUUUUUUAUCUUGCAAAAACAAAUGGUUGCUUAAAAUAGAAAAAAUGUUGAAAGUGGUUAACUUAAGGUUUUCAUUCAGCACACCUGAUAUAACAACAAUCCUAGAUAGAUGGGUAAAAUAGUCAUUUACUGUCUUUUAGAUUGUUCAUUUAGCACACAAAAAGAAACAACAAUUUUCAUCUAACAAAUCAAUUGUCUUGUGUUUGUAAAUUUUUGUCUUUUUCGCAGCAGAGUAUGAAACCCCAUAGAAUUCUCUAAAUCAGGUAAAUUUGUUUUUUCUCCAACCAUAAUAUCUUCAUUAAGUUAUGAUUAUAUUAAAAAAUCUUUACGAUUAUCACUUUAAGGGUUUUAAAUGGUUUUCUAAAAUCGAACUACAUAAUAACUAAAGGACAAAAACGUAAUUUACAAUUGCAAACUCCUUGUUUCUUUUUGUUUUUCCCACCAAUAUAUGGAUAAAUGAGGGCAAAUUUGUAAAUUGUUAUGAGUUAUGUCUUGUCUCCGUUACAAAGAGAAUGAAAAUAUACUUUAUUUGUAACAUUUUGUAAUUACAAGAGAUUUCAUCUUGUUGCGUUUGUAAAUUUAUUGAAUCUUUGAAAAAGAACCAAGGUCUUAUUUGCUUUUGACUUGAGUGGGACAUGAAUUGGGUGGUGUUUGUUUUUUUGAGAAAGAUUUUAUUCAUCACUUAUGUUUUUCUUGUUUGCAUGCGGGCAAAAAUGUGAAAAAAAUUGUUUGUUUUGUAAAUUUUUUACGGAAAAUGAAUGUUUUCUUAAAUUACAAAGAAGUUGGAAAUUUUGGAAAAGCAAUAAUUAUUAUUUUCCAUAUUUUCUAAUUCCAUAGUUACUAAUAACAUAAUUUAAAAUGUGAAUAUAUGACAAAAUGGUCAUUUGUAAACUUAGCUAAAGUUCAUGAUGAAUAUUAUGAGAUUUGUUCUUUUGAAUAUAAGGGUAAAAUGGUCAUUUGGUCUCAUUUAGACAGUUUUUCAUCAAAUUAUUUUUGUAUGUUUUUUAUUGUGAUACGGGAGUCUCUUCUAUUGUUUUUCUCAAUGCUACUAUGCGUUAUUCUAAUGAGAAAUUCUUUUGUAGGUUGGAACAUGCCAAGAGAUGAACUUAAAUAAAUGGGCAACUUGAAAGAAUCAAGGUUUGUUUUUGAAUUUUUUUUUAUAUAUAAAUAUUUAACAUGGUUUAAUGAGGACAAUAAAGCCUUCUUUAUGUUUUUUCCACUCCAUUAAAUUUUGUCAGUAGAAAUGAUGUGUGAAAAAUAUUUUGAGGAAACAAAAAGAAAAUCUAUGUUAAUGUUGAGAGCUUUGUUCCCACUUUCUCAAUUAAGCCGUUCUUUCUGUGUUAAGUAAAAAAGAAACAUAUACAUCAAUAGAUAAGGUGUAUAUAUGAGUAGUUCUUUUUUCAAUUAAUAUAGAUAAUAACAACUUUAUAAAGAGAUUUAGGGAAUUGAGUCUUUCCCCAUUAAGACCUAAAUUUUUACAAUUUUUUCGACAUUAAUAGUUAAUAGUCAAUACAGAAGCAACUAUUUCACUUAUCUUUAACUUGUUUUUUCAGUUAAAAAAAAGGGUCCAUCUGUUCAUGAAGAUUCUCAAAGCACUAUAAUUUGAUGGCCGUGAAGACACUUGAGAAUGUUUAUUUUUAUUUUGAUGUCUUUUAAUUUUAAAAUAUUUUUUUUGUAAAAAUUCAAUAUCUAUUUGUAAGAAAUAGUGACAUACUUUCGAUGGUAUGUUAUUUAUAGCAUUCUACUUCUAUCAUUAGCUAUGAAAAUUCUAUCCAAUUAUAUCUAUGAAAAAUGUAUAGCAACUCAGUUAUAGCGUAUUGUCUUUCUCGUAGUUUCUUAAGCAGUGACCACUUUUUUUGGUCUCUAACAAUAUUUAUUUAU
rnacentral:lncRNA from 1 species